GAUUCCCGGUCGGUCCAGGAGCUUUUCGUAAUGGAAAUUUCCUUGACUUCCCUGGGCAUAGAGUAUAAUCGCACCUGCCUGUAGGAUCUGGAGUUUGUAGAUGGAAAGGAAUAUAGUCGAUUUGCAAGAAUAGCAUUAUUUGAGCGUGCUCUAAGAAGGUUAAUAUAAAUACGAUAUUACCUAUGAUUGUCUCAGCGUGCAUGAGUGACAGUUCGAAAUCAUGCACACGGAGAAAACUGAAAAUACUAGUUAACAUUUUAUAUAUGACACUCCAGCUAUAAGUUCGCUUUAAUCAUUGGAAUAGAUAACAAAAAUGCUCUGCUGAAAUUUAUUUUAUACUUUCCAAAUCUUAUUCUUGAGAUAUUAUCGGUUAUGCAUAUUGCAGCAGAUAUUACUCUGGGGACUUAACAAUAUUUGCUAGCCAUUUUCUUCCACUACAAAACGGAAGCCCUCACGAACGUAGAGUCAAAUUUUCAAGUCUGUGUUUGCAAAAGUUCAAUGUCGCGAUAAAAUACAUCUGGAUAAUCAUGCAUCUUGUCAGGCACCAUUAAAGAACAAAAUCUCGGUCCGAUUGGCCUGUCAUGGACGCCUCCAUUUCUGCAUCCUCCAUCUGGAAAAGGAUCCAGAAUCGGUAUGUCAGUAUCUUUACUACAACCGGCAACUAAUUUGCUUUAAGUGACAGGGAUCAUUGCCGUUUCCGCUAUUUCAUUUGAUCGAUUCACAUCGGCCCAAACAGAGACCAAGUUGUAGUGUUGUGUUGCGGUACAGCGUAUUGGAUCCGUACGAUCUGCAGAUCCUGUUUCGAUAUGAUGGAUUCUGCGAGAAUAUCGUCAAAACGGAAUGUAAGUGGAUAAUAUUAUGUUAAUAAAUCUACAUUCAUCGCACAAACUUGUGUUUUAUUAUUGAUAAAUAAAAAAACAAUAAGAAAAACAAACAUUUAAAUGGUAAUGAGGAAUUAAACCGUUUUAUGCAUGACGAAAUUAAUCACGCAAUAUGCAUGCUGUAAUAUAAAAGUCAUUUAUACUAGCGAAUCAUAAUGUUGAAAUAUGCAUGGCAAGGGGUGAAUAGACCGAAUAUGGUUUUAGUAUGACUGUUAUGCUGUUUAGCAUAUAUUUUUUUAACCGUGCAGGUGAAGCAGGCUUGUAAAACUUGCAAAGUCAGUUGAGUGAAUAUUGUUGUGGAGUGAAGAUGUGCUGUAAGUAGCAGCGGGAGUAUAAUUCGGCUGAUGGCGGAAUCAGCCGAAUGCAAUUCCGCGUUGCGGAUACUACACUGCCAUACGAUAUACGAAUACGAAAAUGGCAACUUUGGCAAAGAAAGCUCUCAGUUAAGAACUGUGAAAGUGCUCAUAGGAACACUAAGCUGAAAAGCAGGCUCUGUCCCAGUGAGGACGUUAUACGUUAUAAGAAGAAGUUAUCUAGAAAAUCCUCCAUCAUUACCUCCAGAGCUUUCAAAUUAUUUACAUACAUUCCUGGGUAAAUUGCUUAUUGAAUCUGCAGAGAAAUGGGGAAAUACUAGAAGAAUUCCAUGUAGAAAACCUUGGUGCAAAUCCUGGUGGAGUUCUGGAAAAGUUUCUGGGGAAAUCCUCUCGGAUUUUUUUUUUGAAUAACUUUGAAGAAAAACAAUUUCUCAUAAAAUGUCAGAAGAAUUGAUAAAAUCUGGCAGAGCUAAAUUUUAGGAAAUUGCUUGGAACAACCACUUUAAAUGUAAUAAAAAUCUUCAGGGAAAUUUAUAGAGAUAUCCUGAAGAAAGCAGAUAAAAGUAUUUUUGCAUAAAUUUCAGCAUAAUGUCCUGAAGCUAUUUCAGGAUUGUUUUUCCAUAUGCAAACAGUCCUAAAAUUUCUUGAGAAAACUCUGCAGAAAUUCAUGAAUCUCAUCACAGGAAAAUUCAGGUAUUUGCUCAAAGUUUCCCUCAGGUAUUACUACGAAGCUUUCUUCAGGUGCUAAUUCAGCGAUUCUUUAAACGACUUCCUGAACAAUUCCUCCAAGUUUUUCGUUCAUAAUACCUUUAUGGAUACAACCUGUUUUUUUUUUAAGUAACCUUAUAAAAA
rnacentral:lncRNA from 1 species